rnacentral:lncRNA from 1 species
CAUACAUACAUGUAUGUGCAUGUGUGCACGCAUGUCUGUCUGUCUGUCUCUGUGUGUGUUGGCAACAGGGUUUACCGUGCUGGUUCUCAUAUCUCUUGGAUCAUUUUGGACUGGUAGGAAAGAGGUGUUUUCCAGACAUGACUUUCCGUAGUGGCAAGGUGCACUAUGUCCACAUAUGUGCGUGAGCCUUCAAUACUGUUACUGUGAUUUCUGUUCAGUAAGCAGAAGCAAACUUGCUGGUCACAUUGAACACACAGCAGAGGGUGGAGCCUGCUGAUAUGUCUCAGACAGUCUCUGAGGGCAUUAAGGUCACAAGGAGUAAAUGCAGACUUGGGUGCAUUCCUGACAUCCCUGGAAAGGUAAACAGCUCUGUGGGCAGUUGGAGAAAGUCCCAGUUGCUGUACUUUACAAACCAUUCAAUCCUUCACAAUUACUCAUGCAUACACAUUCCAGAGGAGAGCUUUAUCGCCUCUCCCUGGCCUGUCCCAUAUGGGUAAUGGCAUUUCCUGGCCCAGAAUCCAUUUCUAACAUGGGUUAGGGAAUGCUGUUGAUACAACUCAGGGCUACUCAGUACUGAGUCAGUGAGGUGUUUUAACCUUUCUGACAGACUCUUUCCUGUGUCUCUCAAAUGAUGAAGGAGAAGAGGCUCAUCUCUGUGGUUGUUGAACCAUGGAGCAGGGAGUAUCCUGACAAGGACUGAGAGGUUCAGGAAGGAGCCAGGUUCUAGCUUCCUGGGGAUGUGUGUCUGUACACCGUCAGACAGCAAUGAGACUCUGGGUCUGUGUGCUUAUAGGCUUCCUCCAGUGGCUGGAAUUUACCUACUAGCUCUACGCUCUGUCAGCUUACAGCAGCACCAGCCAUGAUGUCAUGGUCAAACUGGUGAAGCACGGCACCCUAUCCCAGCUCCUGACUUUGUAUUUAAACAUGUCCUGGAUCCUUGACCACCAGCAGCAGAUGGUGCAACAAACUUCCUGAAAGUGUUUCCACUGAGCCUUGAGAGGUGAACAUGCCUGUCAUCCUGACAGAACAACUUGAGGAAGGGCCAUCCAUAUUCCCGCUCCCUAACCAGGACACUGCUAAGGUGAAUAUGAGGAGUAUUCCAUCUCUGACCCCUUUUCCCUGAAGGGCUUCACUGCCCUGAUGUCGGCACACCUGUGUAUGCCUUCCUGUGACGUCACUGAUGCAGACCAAAUGGAGAGAGCAGCAUGGCCGAUGCCUGCCCUGUGGGCUACACUGAUAGUCUAAGGGCUGUCAUGGCAGUGAGUUGAAGACUAACUAAGCAGGCAUGAGACAAAGGAGAGGAGAAAGUUGUAUUUCCUGAAGGGGUGAGGAGCGCAUUGGCAUCCUAUUUGUAAGGUGGCCACAUCCUGCUCCAACAAGGAAAGCAUGGGGCCUUCACUCCAGGAGCCAGAAAUUAUGGGUAGAAAAGUGGGUUGUUUCUGAGCAUGCUCCAUGGAGGAAGACCCUCAUGUCCCGAGUGUGCUCAGUACAGGAGUUCACUAAACUCAGCAUGCUUAAGGAAGAGUUUACCACUCUCCUGGGCAUGCUUAAAUGACAGAGGAGAGAAGAUUACCUUUCAGCAGAUUCCAAGGUGCCUGCCUCCCAGUGUGGCAAAGGAUACCAAACUGUGGCUGAGAACACCACAGUGGACACUGAGACUUGCUGCCAGCUCUUGGGCACAUUAGUUCACCACAAACGUAGACAAGUCCCUGAGCAGAGGACAACGGCUUUUCUUAUAGCUUGUCCUGUGUCCUCACCAACUCAGAAAUAGUCUGUCCAUGGAGCCAUGUCAUCCUGAGUAGCCUUUCUGUUACUCUCUAUAGAUGGUCUGAGAGCUUCACCUGGUCACCCCAGGGGCAAUCUCACCGCUGGUCUACCUGCCAUUUGCUGCAGACUGAGGUGCUGCCCUGACGAGAGUUUUUCCCUCCCCUAUCUGUACCUAGAGUUUGAAUGUUUGCUACUCUUCCACACUUCUCCACCCUUUUUCUUCCACUCUCUCAAUCAAUUAAGUAAAUAGGAGAGAAAAUUGGGAAAGGGGUUGUAUUGUUAGACUACUUCCUGUUGAUUAGGGAGAUUGAAUUCCUUGGGCAAAGUUUGAUCUUUGCCAUCAGGAUAUCCAAUUUCUUCUUUCUUCUGUGCACACAAAUAAUUACCUCAAACACCAACCACUCAUAACAAACAACCGACAACCACCAACCCCCCCACCCCUCCUAAGGCCCUGUCCUUUCUGUGCCCUCUGAGAAGCCCUCAGAAUUCUGAGUCACAGAAACAUGGAAACUGUCUGUUGCUCCCAAAAUCACGCACCUGCUGGAGCAUGAGGGAAAUCAUAGUCAGCUGAUGUGAAAAAUCUGAAAUAGUGCCCUACUCCCUACCUGUGGUUAAAAUAAAA